rnacentral:lncRNA from 1 species
CACCUUAGCAACCUUACCUCCCUCGGACGCUACCUUAGAUUCAUUAACCUCUUUCACAACCACCUUCCCUACACUCUUAGCUCCCCCAUCACCGUCCAGCCCCUUGUCCUUCCUCACCACAACGGCUCCUCCUCCAUCUACACAACCCUUCGCAACCUCUAGCGCCGCCGCCCUAUCAAACCUAGCAACCUUAGCUACGAUAUUGAAAUUUCCGAAACAAACAGAAUUAACCACUUUCAACAAUUUACACACAUCACGGACGUUCGAAUACCUCACAAAUCCAUAAAC